rnacentral:misc_RNA from 1 species
AAUUUUUUUUUCUUUAAACUAUGGAUUGAGAAAUUUCUGUAAGAAUACAUUCGACAUCUUGGUACCAACCUCAAGUUCUCCACUCUAAAGGGGCAAAUAGAUGGCUGGAUGGAUGUUUGCUUGUUUGCUUGCUCAAAAAUAACUGUUUAAAUAAGUAAGAAAAGAUGGUGACGCUUCCCAAUUCCAGGUGAAAUGGAGUUGGUCACUUUAUCUCCCCUCGUUUAUGCUUUCCUGCAAAUGGGUUUUUGUCUUGAUGGUGUUGGGGAUUGCCUUUGGAAAUGGUAUGUAACUUGUUCAAGAUGUCAUUCUGAUCAUGGCUAGUGAAGAAGAGUUUGAUCUUAUGUAGCCAUCGUUACAGAAAAAAGUCACUGGAGUUGCUUUUGUAAAAUUAUCAUAUUG